CGGCAGGUUGGGUGCGGACCAUGGCCUCUCACAAGCUGCUGGUGACCCCCCCCAAGGCCCUGCUCAAGCCCCUCUCCAUCCCCAACCGGCUCCUGCUGGGGCCUGGUCCCUCCAACCUGGCUCCUCGCAUCAUGGCAGCCGGGGGGCUGCAGAUGAUCGGGCCCAUGAGCAAGGAUAUGUACCAGAUCAUGGACGAGAUCAAGGAAGGCAUCCAGUACGUGUUCCAGACCAGGAACCCACUCACACUGGUCAUCUCUGGCUCGGGACACUGUGCCCUGGAGGCCGCCCUGGUCAAUGUGCUGGAGCCUGGGGACUCCUUCCUGGUUGGGGCCAAUGGCAUUUGGGGGCAGCGAGCCGUGGACAUCGGGGAGCGCAUAGGAGCCCGAGUGCACCCGAUGACCAAGGACCCUGGAGGCCACUACACACUGCAGGAGGUGGAGGAGGGCCUGGCCCAGCACAAGCCAGUGCUGCUGUUCUUAACCCACGGGGAGUCGUCCACCGGCGUGCUGCAGCCCCUUGAUGGCUUCGGGGAACUCUGCCACAGGUACAAGUGCCUGCUCCUGGUGGAUUCGGUGGUAUCCCUGGGCGGGACCCCCCUUUACAUGGACCAGCAAGGUAAGGGUGUGCUCUGAGGGCCCUACCCAGCCCAAGCAGCCUUGGGGCUCCGCGUGCAGGAAGCCCUGCUGGAAGCUUGCGUCCAGCAGCCGAUGCUGCGGAUUCGGCCCCAUCUCCACCAGGCCCAGGGAAACACUCACUCCUUACUGGGGCAAGAGCGGCUCCAUGAACUACCCAGCACCCCAGUGUUUCCACUGAGCUUUCAGAUCCAGGCAUGGGGACUGGCAGGAGGGACAGCUUCUGGUGGGGGACAUUUGAGAUGCCCCAGAGCUGUAGCAGAAGCAGUGGGAAGAGGAAGGGCCAGGGCUCCAGUCAAUCAGGCAUUGGGGAUCCCUCUGCCCAACCCCCCAGAGGCUCAGUUUCACAUCUGCCCUGCGCCCUGCCAGGCUGCCCAUAGCAGUGAGCACCACUGUCAGGGU
rnacentral:sRNA from 1 species